UACAGAGGUGGCAAGCGUUGUUCGGAAUUACUGGGCGUAAAGGGCGCGUAGGCGGCCUUCUAAGUCAGACGUGAAAUCCCCCGGCUUAACCUGGGAACUGCGUCUGAUACUGGGAGGCUCGAGUAUGGGAGAGGGAUGUAGAAUUCCAGGUGUAGCGGUGAAAUGCGCAGAUAUCAGGAGGAACACCGGUGGCGAAGGCGGUUCUCUGGGCAUGUCCUGACGCUGAGGAGCGAAAGUGUGGGGAGCGAACAGG
rnacentral:rRNA from 1 species